rnacentral:misc_RNA from 1 species
UACGAAGGGGGCUAGCGUUGUUCGGAAUUACUGGGCGUAAAGCGCACGUAGGCGGAUAUUUAAGUCAGAGGUGAAAUCCCAGGGCUCAACCCUGGAACUGCCUUUGAUACUGGGUAUCUUGAGGCCGAGAGAGGUGAGUGGAACUCCUAGUGUAGAGGUGGAAUUCGUAGAUAUUAGGAAGAACACCAGUGGCGAAGGCGGCCACCUGGACUGAUACUGACACUGAGGUGCGAAAGCGUGGGGAGCAAACAGG